rnacentral:rRNA from 1 species
GAUGAACGCUGGCGGCGUGCCUAAUACAUGCAAGUCGAGCGAACGGACGAGAAGCUUGCUUUUCUGAUGUUAGCGGCGGACGGGUGAGUAACACGUGGAUAACCUACCUAUAAGACUGGGAUAACUUCGGGAAACCGGAGCUAAUACCGGAUAAUAUUUUGAACCGCAUGGUUCAAAAGUGAAAGACGGUCUUGCUGUCACUUAUAGAUGGAUCCGCGCUGCAUUAGCUAGUUGGUAAGGUAAAGGCUUACCAAGGCAACGAUGCAUAGCCGACCUGAGAGGGUGAUCGGCGACACUGGAGCUGAGACACGGUCCAGACGCCUACGGGAGGCAGCAGUAGGGAAUCUUCCGCAAUGGGCGAAAGCCUGACGGAGCAACGCCGCGUGAGUGAUGAAGGUCUUCGGAUCGGAAAACUCUGUUAUGGGGGAAGAACAUAUGUGUAAGUAACUGUGCACAUCUUGACGGUACCUAAUCAGAAAGCCACGGCUAACUACGUG